GUUGGAAAGAUUUUUUGGUCUGGGAUGGGCUCGCGGCCUAUCAGCUUGUUGGUGAGGUAAUGGCUCACCAAGGCGUCGACGGGUAGCCGGCCUGAGAGGGUGACCGGCCACACUGGGACUGAGACACGGCCCAGACUCCUACGGGAGGCAGCAGUGGGGAAUAUUGCACAAUGGGCGAAAGCCUGAUGCAGCAACGCCGCGUGAGGGAUGACGGCCUUCGGGUUGUAAACCUCUUUUAGCAGGGAAGAAGCGAAAGUGACGGUACCUGCAGAAAAAGCGCCGGCUAACUACGUGCCAGCAGCCGCGGUAAUACGUAGGGCGCAAGCGUUAUCCGGAAUUAUUGGGCGUAAAGAGCUCGUAGGCGGUUUGUCGCGUCUGCUGUGAAAUCCCGAGGCUCAACCUCGGGCCUGCAGUGGGUACGGGCAGACUAGAGUGCGGUAGGGGAGAUUGGAAUUCCUGGUGUAGCGGUGGAAUGCGCAGAUAUCAGGAGGAACACCGAUGGCGAAGGCAGAUCUCUGGGCCGUAACUGACGCUGAGGAGCGAAAGGGUGGGGAGCAAACAGGCUUAGAUACCCUGGUAGUCCACCCCG
rnacentral:rRNA from 1 species